rnacentral:rRNA from 1 species
AGGGUUUGAUCAUGGCUCAGGAUGAACGCUGGCGGCGUGCCUAACACAUGCAAGUCGAACGGGAAUCUUCGGAUUCUAGUGGCGGACGGGUGAGUAACGCGUAAGAAUCUAACUUCAGGACGGGGACAACAGUUGGAAACGACUGCUAAUACCCGAUGUGCCGCAAGGUGAAACCUAAUUGGCCUGAAGAAGAGCUUGCGUCUGAUUAGCUAGUCGGUGGGGGUAAGAGCCUACCAAGGCGACGAUCAGUAGCUGGUCUGAGAGGAUGAGCAGCCACACUGGGACUGAGACACGGCCCAUGACUCCUACGGGAGGCAGCAGUGGGGAAUUUUCCGCAAUGGGCGAAAGCCUGACGGAGCAACGCCGCGUGAGGGAGGAAGGUCUUUGGAUUGUAAACCUCUUUUCUCAAGGAAGAAGUUCUAGACAGGUACUUGAGGAAUCAGCCUCGGCUAACUCCGUGCCAGCAGCCGCGGUAAUACGGGGGAGGCAAGCGUUAUCCGGAAUUAUUGGGCGUAAAGCGUCCGCAGGUGGUCAGCCAAGUCUGCUGUCAAAUCAGGUUGCUUAACGACCUAAAGGCGGUGGAAACUGGCAGACUAGAGAGCAGUAGGGGUAGCAGGAAUUCCCAGUGUAGCGGUGAAAUGCGUAGAGAUUGGGAAGAACAUCGGUGGCGAAAGCGUGCUACUGGGCUGUAUCUGACACUCAGGGACGAAAGCUAGGGGAGCGAAAGGGAUUAGAUACCCCUGUAGUCCUAGCCGUAAACGAUGGAUACUAGGCGUGGCUUGUAUCGACCCGAGCCGUGCCGAAGCUAACGCGUUAAGUAUCCCGCCUGGGGAGUACGCACGCAAGUGUGAAACUCAAAGGAAUUGACGGGGGCCCGCACAAGCGGUGGAGUAUGUGGUUUAAUUCGAUGCAACGCGAAGAACCCUUACCAAGACUUGACAUGUCGCGAACCCUGGUGAAAGCUGGGGGUGCCUUCGGGAGCGCGAACACAGGUGGUGCAUGGCUGUCGUCAGCUCGUGUCGUGAGAUGUUGGGUUAAGUCCCGCAACGAGCGCAACCCUCGUUCUUAGUUGCCAGCAUUAAGUUGGGGACUCUAAGGAGACUGCCGGUGACAAACCGGAGGAAGGUGGGGAUGACGUCAAGUCAGACAUGCCCCUUACGUCUUGGGCGACACACGUACUACAAUGGUCGGGACAAAGGGCAGCGAACUCGCGAGAGCCAGCGAAUCCCAGCAAACCCGGCCUCAGUUCAGAUUGCAGGCUGCAACUCGCCUGCAUGAAGGAGGAAUCGCUAGUAAUCGCCGGUCAGCAUACGGCGGUGAAUUCGUUCCCGGGGCUCUUGUACAGACCACCGCCCGUCACACCACGGAAGCUGGUCACGCCCCGAAGUCAUUACCUCAACCUUUCGAGGAGGGGGAUGCCUAAGGCAGGGCUAGUGACUGGGGUGAAGUCGUAACAAGGUAACCC